rnacentral:rRNA from 1 species
UACGUAGGGCGCAAGCGUUGUCCGGAAUUAUUGGGCGUAAAGAGCUCGUAGGCGGUUUGUCGCGUCUGCUGUGAAAGCCCGGGGCUCAACCCUGGGCCUGCAUUCGAUACGGGCAGACUAGAGUUCGGUAGGGGAGACUGGAAUUCCUGGUGUAGCGGUGAAAUGCGCAGAUAUCAGGAGGAACACCGGUGGCGAAGGCGGGUCUCUGGGCCGAAACUGACGCUGAGGAGCGAAAGCGUGGGGAGCGAACAGG